rnacentral:snoRNA from 1 species
AACGUGGUUAAUGAUGCUGAACUUUUUUCCCCAUCUUAUCGACCAUGGAGAAUUCACACUGAAACUAAGCCAGUUUGUCUGAAGCCACGUU